UUCGCUGCAGCGCCUUUUGGAUAUCCAACUCCGCCCAUCCAAGUCGGCCAUUUUGAUGACGUCAUGCGGCUAUGAGCUUUCUUAGUGCAAACAAAACUUUACUGCCCAUAGCAAAUCGGAAAACGAACGAUGUCGAUCUGUCAGUGUGCAGACCAGACUGUUGGGGCCUACCCCAUUUAAGACAUCUGCUUGCCAGAUCAGGCAUCAGAGUCACAGGUUGACUAUGUGCUCGAUGCCAGAAGAUCAGAAACCAAGAAUAUUGGGACAAUUGGCACUACCAACUUAAAACGGCAAGACUUCCAGUCACUUGGUUUGC